rnacentral:rRNA from 1 species
UUUUACAAUGGAGAGUUUGAUCCUGGCUCAGGAUGAACGCUAGCUACAGGCUUAACACAUGCAAGUCGAGGGGAAACGGCAUUAAGUGCUUGCACUUUUUGGACGUCGACCGGCGCACGGGUGAGUAACGCGUAUCCAACCUUCCCAUGACUAAGGGAUAACCUGCCGAAAGGCAGACUAAUACCUUAUGGUCUUCACUGACGGCAUCAGAUGUGAAGUAAAGAUUUAUCGGUUAUGGAUGGGGAUGCGUCUGAUUAGCUUGUUGGCGGGGUAACGGCC